rnacentral:lncRNA from 1 species
UAUAGAUUAAUUUUGAUAAAGAAAGAAUAAUCACGUUGUGAGUGGUACAGGUACCUAUAUGGUAAGCAUGAGUAACGAGCUUAAUUUAGAGAAUGUGACUCGAGUAGAUGAUAAUGAGUAAGUUAAAUUAUGUUUACCUUUGAGCUAUAAGUAUGAUGAGUAAUGGUGAGAUUGUUGUUGUAUAUUUAUUUAUAUGCAACUUACUAAGCUUUACGCUUACCCUCUUUCAUUUCCCUCUUCUUUCAGUGUUAUCAAGCUAACUU